GAUGAACGCUGGCGGCGUGCCUAAUACAUGCAAGUCGAGCGAACAGACGAGGAGCUUGCUCCUCUGACGUUAGCGGCGGACGGGUGAGUAACACGUGGAUAACCUACCUAUAAGACUGGGAUAACUUCGGGAAACCGGAGCUAAUACCGGAUAAUAUAUUUAACCGCAUGGUUCAAUAGUGAAAGACGGUUUUGCUGUCACUUAUAGAUGGAUCCGCGCCGCAUUAGCUAGUUGGUAAGGUAACGGCUUACCAAGGCAACGAUGCGUAGCCGACCUGAGAGGGUGAUAGGCCACACUGGAACUGAGAAACGGUCCAGACUCCUACGGGAGGCAGCAGUAGGGAAUCUUCCGCAAUGGGCGAAAGCCUGACGGAGCAACGCCGCGUGAGUGAUGAAGGUCUUCGGAUCGUAAAACUCUGUUAUUAGGGAAGAACAAAUGUGUAAGUAACUAUGCACGUCUUGACGGUACCUAAUCAGAAAGCCACGGCUAACUACGUG
rnacentral:rRNA from 1 species